CUCCUACGGGAGGCAGCAGUGGGGAAUUUUGGACAAUGGGGGAAACCCUGAUCCAGCCAUGCCGCGUGAGUGAAGAAGGCCUUCGGGUUGUAAAGCUCUUUCAGACGGAAAGAAACGGUCACGGCCAAUACCCGUGACUAAUGACGGUACCGUCAGAAGAAGCACCGGCUAACUACGUGCCAGCAGUCGCGGUAAUACGUAGGGUGCGAGCGUUAAUCGGAAUUACUGGGCGUAAAGCGUGCGCAGGCGGUGAUGUAAGACAGUUGUGAAAUCCCCGGGCUCAACCUGGGAAUUGCAUCUGUGACUGCAUCGCUAGAGUACGGUAGAGGGGGAUGGAAUUCCGCGUGUAGCAGUGAAAUGCGUAGAUAUGCGGAGGAACACCGAUGGCGAAGGCAAUCCCCUGGGAUAACACUGACGCUCAUGCACGAAAGCGUGGGGAGCAAACAGGAUUAGAUACCCUGGUAGUCCACGCCCUAAACGAUGUCAACUAGUUGUCGGGAGCUAUAUGCUUUUGGUAACGCAGCUAACGCGUGAAGUAGACCGCCUGGGGAGUACGGUCGCAAGAUUAAAACUCAAAGGAAUUGACGGA
rnacentral:rRNA from 1 species